UACAGAGGGUGCGAGCGUUAAUCGGAAUUACUGGGCGUAAAGCGUGCGUAGACGGUUAUGUAAGUCGGGUGUGAAAGCCCCGGGCUCAACCUGGGAAUUGCAUUCGAGACUGCGUAGCUAGGGUGCGGAAGAGGGAAGCGGGAAUUUCCGGUGUAGCGGUGAAAUGCGUAGAUAUCGGAAGGAACACCAGUGGCGAAAGCGGCUUCCUGGU
rnacentral:rRNA from 1 species